CAAAUAGACAGUGAAGGUCAACGCGGAGGAGCAAUCCGACGCUGCUUCACUUCGAGCACACAAGUCCGCCGUGGCUGCGCGUGGGUUCGUGUGCCUGUUGUCGAGGACGGAGUUUCUCUGCUUGCGCUUCGCGCUAGUACGUUCUCCUCUCCCUUGGCUUCGAGGCGCGCGUUCUUGCGCGUAGACAAACGUUGUUUCUUCUUAGAGGUAUUGACGACUCUACAUAAGUCGUACGAGACAGAGAGCAAUAACAGGUCUGUGAUGCCCUUAGAUGCCCUGGGCCGCACGCGAGCUACAAUGCCGGGUACAGCGGGUGUAAUGUCCUUCUCCGAGAGGAGCGGGUAACCCUCUGAAAGCCCUUCUGAUGUGCGGCGCACUUCGCGUGCGUACGCGCAUCGCGGCUCGA
rnacentral:rRNA from 1 species